rnacentral:rRNA from 1 species
UAGGGAAUCUUCGGCAAUGGACGGAAGUCUGACCGAGCAACGCCGCGUGAGUGAAGAAGGUUUUCGGAUCGUAAAGCUCUGUUGUUAGAGAAGAACGUUGGUAGGAGUGGAAAAUCUACCAAGUGACGGUAACUAACCAGAAAGGGACGGCUAACUACGUGCCAGCAGCCGCGGUAAUACGUAGGUCCCGAGAGUUGUCCGGAUUUCUUGGGCGUAAAGCGAGCGCAGGCGGUUCUUUAAGUCUGAAGUUAAAGGCAGUGGCUUAACCAUUGUACGCAUUGGAAACUGGAGGACUUGAGUGCAGAAGGGGAAAGUGGAAUUCCAUGUGUAGCGGUGAAAUGCGUAGAUAUAUGGAGGAACACCGGUGGCGAAAGCGGCUCUCUGGUCUGUAACUGACGCUGAGGCUCGAAAGCGUGGGGAGCAAACAGG